GGACAGCUGACACAUCCCUGCCAAUCUCCGGCAGACCCUCCCUCCCAGACCCUCCUACUUCCUGGACAGCAUCCAUGUUGAAGGCAGCUUCAACAUGGAUGCUGUCCAGGAGGUGGGAGGGUCUGGGAGGGAGGGUCUGCCGGAGAUUGGCAGGGAUGUGUCAGCUG